CUUGUGCCACGGUGGCCCAAAUGUCAGUCAACCAGACAUGUCUUCUGAGAGUUCCCAGGAAUGUGGUGAAGAGCAACUGUAAGCGAUAAGAUUGUUCCCAGCGCUAAUAAAACUUUGGAGUUAAUUAACUGAGAAGAAGGUAAAAUGAAAUGUUGUUAUGAGGGCUAAAGUUGUUUUUCUACCUUUUUGAAAAUUAUUUUUUAUCUGUUGAAAUUAUAAUAUAAUUAUCAUCUCUCCUUCUUUUUGCUCCCCUCUCAGAAAUUAACAGCCUUGAGUUGCAGGUGGAAGGUGCAGAAGCCAAAUUAAAAACAGUCUUUUCAGGCUGAGCUCAGGAGCCUGAAUUUCCAUGCUGUAAGUGGCUGGGAUCCACUGGAGGAUUUUAAUUGUGUAAGUUGACAAGAUCAGAUUUGCUAUUCAGAAAGCACACCCUGGCACAGAUCGGUGGGUGGAAUAGAAAGUGGUUGCCCUGGAGACAGGCAGACCCAUUAGGAAGCUCUGACAAAGAUCCAGGAGAGAGAAAAUGAGGAUAGUGGUUGGAGGAAUGAGCAGAUUCAAAGACAUUUUAGAGGUGGAACGGAUGGUCGGGAGACGCUCAUUCAGUGUAAAUGCUGAAGGAAAGGAAGAACCAAGGAGCGCUGUGGUUUCCAGCUUGGAUUUCUAUAUGGAUAGUGAAUAAUUAAUGAAGAUGUGGCGGGCGGGCAUAAUGGGGACUUAAGAGGGAGGUAGUUGUAGAUGGACGUGAUCAAUAUACAUUUGUUUAAAUGUGUAUAACUUUCAAAGAGUAAGAGAAUUAUUAUUUUAAUAGAUCAAGGUAUAAAAUACAAAAAAAAGUCAAAUGGGGGGGGGGGUUUGCUAAUGAAUUCAUAUGUGACCUGUUGAAUUUGAUGUAUCUUUUGGACUUGUAGGUGAAGAAGUCACAUGUGGUGAAUAUAUUAUCAUCAGAAUGCGGAGCAAUGAAAUGUAAACAGAUAGGAAUCGUCACUAAAGCUCCAACUGCAGCCUCCGGGUGCCAUAGCUUUUGCACCAUCCAUUUGCACCAUCUCUGCAGUAAGUCCUAGCUCAAGCCUUACUCCAAAGUACAAAUUAGCAUAGCAGCUCAGUCAACAAUGCCUCCGAGCUUCUGGAAAGAAAGAUGCUCAGUCACCAUAGACCCAGAAUUAAUGAAAAGUCACAGAAAUAAUAGCUCCAUUCUCUACUUGCUUCUGAACCUCAAAUCAGUGGUUGGCAACAAGUUGCUCUCAAUCACUGCCACGAGUCUGGUGAUGCGCUAAGCUCGGGGCAGGAUCUCAAGGGCUUUGAGGAUGUCUGCAUCAUCUGUAUUGACCUGCUCCCCAGAUUAAUACCGAAGCACUGCAAUUUCUUGAGGAUUAUCCACCUAGGAGGAAAUGAUACGCUGGCCCAUCCAUAGUAGUCAAGAAACAGUCUGAGAUCCAAAAAGUGGCUUAAAAGAGGGAAAAGUUAAUCAAAAUGUCUGUGAAGCUCUGGCUUCAGUCUCUCCAGCGAGGCUUUCUGAAGCACAGCUCUGAUAGAACUAAACCCAAUGAGACACCGCCUACAAGAGGAAUCCAGCGUGUGAACGAAGACUAAAAAGCAAAACAGCAGCGUCUGGAGUGGACAGCUUCUCUCACUCAGAGAACUGUAGCCUCAAAUUCCUGGCAGAGGUUUCUUGGAAGAGAAGAAUGAGAUUGGAUCUGAGAAAAUGUGGCUGGUAAUGAACUCUACGAAGGGAUUUUUAUACUCUCUCUUUGGCAGUCCAUCCUGUGAAAUAAUAAUGAGGUUGGAGGAUGGCUGCUAACCAUCCCUUGCUUUUCCGUGCCAGGGAACCACCAUCUCAGAUGGUAGAAACCACUCAGAAGGAUCAACUGCUGCAGACGGGAAGAGGAGCAACCUCGUGAAUAAUUUCGUGACAGGAUAUUGCAGGAGGGACUUUGUCCAAAUGUGUGCAGGGUAGUUGGCUACAGCAACAAGGAUGACGAACACAGAUGAAUUGAUCAGGAUGUAACCAUUCAAAGUUGAGAGGAUUAGAGGACUUCUCCGAGGCGGCUCCAAUGGAUGCCAGCAGAGUUAAAGUGUCCAAUGGAGAGAAGAGAAGGCUUGGGAAAUCCAGAGUCCAUUCAUUCAUCGCCCUCCUCCUAGAACAACAAAAGCGAGCCCCAGUACUCAUCAGCAUGGACUCUGUGUGUAGUCAUCUCCCUUAGUUUCAGAGGUUCCUGCCUACAGCAAAACUUUAGAGGCUUAGAGUUUAACGGUCAUAGCUUAUUCACCUCCAACUGUGUCCUAGUUCAAGAGAAACACUUCACAUAUCUGUAGGGAGAAGAUAAUGAACCAAGGAUACAAGUUAAGCCUUAGCUAAGACCUGUUACUCAGGAAAAAGAGCUAAAACAAGCUGCUUAGAUCAGCACCAAUGUUAGGUAGAGAGAAAAAGAAACGCUGCAUAGAAAUCUUAAGGUUCACAUGUGCUCCAGGCUGGGUCAACAACUUCUAAUUUCCUUUGCCAACCAACCAUGUCUUUGACAGAAAUGAUCCUUCUACAUAGACCACAGAGGGAUCCAAUGGAGGUUUCUCUUCCUGAAUUUGGGGAUUCAGAAUCUGGACAAAUUCCUUUCCAUCAAAGUCCAGUACAAAAGUAGUACCAUGGCAGUCCCUGCAGGGACUUGCAUCACUUUCCCUAGAGAUAUCAAGAGAAUUUUUAGUGAUAAGAAUAUGGCACAAAAUGAGAAAUCCCAUUACUCUUAAGAGAAUCUCUUCCUUCUCAAAGGCACCUGAUUAAUACAUAUAGUACUAUCAGUAAGGCUGAGCAAAAGGAUACUGAUGUUCUGAGUGAUCUUAAAUCAUGUAAUAAUAACUUUAUUCGUAGUAUAGAACGGAAUAUUCCCUAUUAGUAAUCAGUUCCUUUGCCAGAUCCUCAUAGUAUCUUAGUCACUGUUUUAUUGUUAUGAAGAGAAACUUUGACCACAGCACCUCUUAGAAAAAAGGAAGCAUUUAAUCGGGACUUCCUUAUGGUUUCACAGUUUUACAUAAUUGUCAACAUGGCAGAGAACAUGGGGGCACGCAAACAGACAUGGUGCUGGAGAAGUAGCGGAGAAUAUACAGCAACAUAUAGAUACAAAAUAUAGAUACAUAUAGAUACAGAAUAUAGAUACAUAUAGCUACAUAUAGAUCUGCAGGCAGCAGGAAGAGACUGGGACAAGGCCAUACCUUCUAAGGCUUCUCAAGGAGUGUCACUUCCUGAUGACCAAGCAUUCAAGUGUAUGAGCUUAUGGGAGCCAUUCUUAUUCAAGCCACCACACAUAGCAAAGCUGAUAAUGUCAUUUUCUGAAUUAACCAGGCCAAGGCACACUUCUUAGCAACAUGGUUACCUGGUAACCAGAGAUUUUUCUCAUCCCAUGAGAGAUUUCAUUCAAGAACUGAUCUUCUAACAGUUUUGUCUCUCUUAAGAAUGCUACAGACAGGGUGGGGUGAGGCACAGUGCUGAAGCCCCUCAAGUUUCCCAGAGGGAUGAGUCCAUGAAAGACGAAAAUCAUGUGGUCACACUGAGCAUAGACUUCACAAGCAUCAUGCUAGGAUUCCAUUUUCUUUCUCAACACAAUGAUAAAUUCUUCUUCCAAUAAGCAGAAAAUCAUCCAAUGGGAAAAAAAAAUAAAACCAACUAACUUGCAGUCCUUUGGAACAGUUUCAUAGCUUACAGGAUGGCUUCAUAACCCUGGGGACACUCGUUUUGACAUGAAAACUUCCUUCAGAACAGGAAUUCUGAUCCAACAUGUGCUCAGACAUCAUUUCAGUCACUUGCAAAUGAACAAGAAAGCUCAUGUAAAUGAGGAGGCUCAACUCCCAGGCCUGGUGAGUGGGUAAGACAUUCCUCUGCUGGGUUUUGAAGGCUGUCUGAAACCAUCGGCUGACAUCCUUCUCUGUGUGCAUGUAUGCACUAUCUACGGGAAAUUCAGCUCCAACCGGUUGUCUCUACAGCUCCCUUAAUCUUCUCCUCCCUCCUCCUGGCAUUGGCAUGUGUCCCAGGACUGCAGCGAGGAGUGCUUACCAACAAAGGUGCUGGCAUCUGCAUUUGUUUCACAGCCACAAACCUAAUGGUUCCAUGAUUUUGGCGAGCAAAACUGUCAAAAUGCCUGAGCACAAGAGAUCACAAGAUGAGCCAAGGCAUAGUGUGCAUGCCUUCCUUCCCAGCACUCGGAAGGCAGAGGCAAGGGGAUCUCUGUGGGUUCAAGGCCAGCCUGAAUCACAAGGUGUACUGGGGAUUCUUUUUUAUUGUUUUCCUUUUGCUAUCUGGAAUAGUUUGAGAUUGUAUUUGAUCAGUGCAUUAAACAAC
rnacentral:lncRNA from 1 species